UCUCCGUUGGUGAACCAGCGGAGGGAUCAUUACAGAGUUGCAAAACUCCCAAACCAUUGUGAACGUUACCUAUCCCGUUGCUUCGGCGGGCGGCCCGGGCCCCGCGCCCGGCGCCCCCCGGCCCCCCGUGGGCGCCCGCCGGAGGUAAACCAAACCCUUGAAUUGCAUGGCCUCUCUGAGUCUUCUAUACUGAAUAAGUCAAAACUUUCAACAACGGAUCUCUUGGUUCUG
rnacentral:misc_RNA from 1 species